rnacentral:rRNA from 1 species
UACGUAGGGGGCAAGCGUUGUCCGGAAUCAUUGGGCGUAAAGCGCGUGUAGGCGGUCCGGUAAGUCCGCUGUGAAAGUCGGGGGCUCAACCCUCGGAUGCCGGUGGAUACUGUCGGGCUUGAGUACGGAAGAGGCGAGUGGAAUUCCUGGUGUAGCGGUGAAAUGCGCAGAUAUCAGGAGGAACACCGGUGGCGAAGGCGCUGCUCUGGGCCGGUACUGACGCUGAGGAGCGAAAGCGUGGGUAGCAAACAGG